UUAGGGGAACUUAAUUUGAUACAACAACAUGGCACAGCUGGUGGUGAUGUUGUGUUUAGUUUUUAUAGUCGUAUCUGAUCAAAGUGUAAAUGGUCAGACACUGACUCAGUCUGAGCCUGCGGUAAUUAAACCUGGAGGAUCUCACACUCUGACCUGUACGGGUUCUGGAUUCACAUUCAGUAGCUACUCUAUGGGCUGGAUCAGACAGGCUCCUGGUAAAGGACUGGAAUGGAUAGCUCUGCACACUGGCAGCACAUACUACUCCCAGUCUGUUCAAGGACGCUUCACCAUCUCCAGAGACAACAGCAAGAGCCAGGUGUACUUACAGAUGACUUCCAUUAAAGCUGAAGACUCUGGGGUUUAUUACUGUGCCCGAGAGACACAGUGAUGAAUAGUAUACACAGACUCGUACAAAAAACAUCCACACAUCAUCUAUGUGGUUAUACACCCUUCUGUUAAGUGCUAAAAUUUAAUGUGGUGUUGAGUUCCAGUUAACCAAAAACCCAAAUGUUGAUAAUAUUAAUAAAAUCAAUUUAAAUCAAACUAAGCCCUAAAAACUGAAAUAAACA